UAAUACCAGAAGCAGAAGAGGAGGGUGGGAGGCGUCCGCCGCUUCAUCUUCCGGGUUAUCUCUUCAGACCUCGUCGGCACCGCUGCCGGUGCCGGUCCGGUGAAACCCGCGUCCGUUCCCGUCAGCCCUCAGUGGCGGCUAGCAAAGCAGCGCACGGACUGGUCCGUCCGUCCCACUUUUCCCAGCUUUUCAUCGCCCCUUAAAGAAGGUCGGCGUCGCGUGCGUUUCUUAGGUCGGUGGUUCCCUUGCCUCGCUUACCCUUCCUUCCCAAACCUAAGAUCGACUCGCCACGCGCGUGGGUGCGUGCGUUUGUGCGCGUCCUGCCUCUCGCCUCCGUCGGCCUCCGCCGCCACGACACAAACUACUCCUUCAGACCUUGUUUUCUCCCAUAGCUCCCUAGAUAACCUAAAUUCGUACCCUAACUACACUUGGGUAGAAGACAAAGAUGAGUUUGUCCUCCUUGCGCUAGACUAAACUACUAAGCUCACACGUCAACAUGAUCUUCCAGGAGCAGUGAAGUAUUAGGAUUAUGGUCUUUAUAAUACUACUGGACGUUUUCGACACCACCGUUUAGUUGUCACCUGUCUCCACCCGGUAGCACAUCGUCGUUGGAAUUGUGGUCGCCGAACCUCGAGGGGUCUGGAUAUCUAGGACUCCACUCUACCUUCUGACAUUUGUCUUCCGUUUCUCGACGUUCCUCUCGUUCCUGGAAAAGACCUCCUCUGUCUAACUUCCUACUUUAAUCUAGAAAGAUACGUACACCGUUAGGGUACUCAGAUCUUCACCGAGUUCUUCUCCUAAGUCGGAGACUUAGACUCUUCGAACCCCAUAGAUAAGAACCAGCCGCGAAACCACUAGGGUACCUUUUACAAGGUUAUUUUUUCUCUUCUCAAGUAUACCUAACAAGAGGUAGUGGAGGUAGGUGGGGUGACGAUCACCUAGGAAUACUUUUUUAUGGCUCGUCUAGACCACCUCCGUAAAGUAGUAUACCGCUCGUAGCGUUCCAAUUUUGUGAUCCUACGUUCGUGUACCUUCUUUUCUCUCCUGGAGAACUUCGACGACUAAAAAGACCAUAUAGUUAUGACCGACGACGACGGACACUUUCACUCUACCUACAACGAUUCAAUUUACCACUUACGAGCUUCAGUCGGACGAGAGAACUACUUUCUUUCGGUCUUUAAUAGAGACCGUCAAGUGACAACCUAGGAGAUGUACUUUAAUUCCCCCUAUUCGAUUUAUAGGGUCUGUCCCGGGACUUUAAUAGACUUUGACGAGGACUGUACUCCGGAAACAAAGGGUGAUGUAGUUUAUCGAGACUCAGACGAGGACUGUACUUCGGGAACAAGGGGUGUUGUAAUUUACCAGGUCUCUUAGAACAACCUAAACGUCGACGAGACCUCCCGUUUAGUCAUCCGACGAAACCUCUAUGUCAACACGUGUGGUUCGUAAGGUUACGCCGAGUACUAAGAUCUGACGUGACCCUAGAAUUGUAACGCUACCUCCGCACCCUGUGGGUAACACCACUACUACUAUUAGUACUAUACCAACCAGGACUAGGACAUCGAAGACAUUCACUAACAUUACUACGAGUUUUCCUCUACUUGUUUAGUGUCCACACAGCCCUAGAAAGAGUCAGUUGUCAACGACUCCAGUAUCAAGCAGUAAGACAACUAUUUUAAGUGCACCGACUACGUCGUUUUCUACCAUUGUGUUUCCCACUUUCACUAAAGAGUCCACUACCAAGUAAAGUAGGAAACACGUCAGCCAGAGGGGGCUUUCAAGUCGAUAACCUUAGGCUUACAAAUCUACCUUUACUAAGGAGACGGCUUUGUUUGUUAAACGAACUAGACGUCUUCUCAUCAAUACAAAGAUUACACCGUAACGUAUAGCCUAGAUUAGGUCUGAACUCAAGAGACAGAGAAUGAGUCCUUGUAAAGCGUAAACGACGUUUACACCUCUUUGAACUACACAGUGUGUAAAGUGGGGAACUAACACUUCCAAACAGAGUGAACUGAAGACUCCUACGAGUACGACCUCCAUCAAGUUAAGUUUGUUCACAAGACCCGAGGUCUCACUUCGGAUACUGUUCGUCUAAUCAAAGACUCCUUUCGUGUUUAUAACGUUGUCAAAGGUCAUUUUCAAAAUGACUGCGACCCACCUCGCUACUAUUUGAACCCGUCCGAAGUGAUGUCUCGUAUAGACUUAAAUUUUUGGUACUUGAAAACCUACAACUAAGUCCUUGAUCAUUUUAACUAGUCAGGCAGUUACUCUUCCGACUUGUACUGUGACUGCAUAACACGCAACUGUUCUUUCGACCUCUACGUCUGUUACUAAGUCUGGAGGGACUAAGAGUAGGUCUCCUAUUGGAUGCGUGAAGACUAACGCAGUACAGGAUACGCGUAUAUCUCCCACCACACCUACGUUGUUAGCUAAUGUCUUUAGCAAAUGAACGAACACGGUUGCGAUGGUCACGUCUUUGUACAAUGUAGUGGUCACUAUAAGUACGAGUACCAGAGUUAAGUCUCACGAGAUUUGUUCGUCUAUGACUGUACCUGUUAUAACACCUAAGUUUUAGAUCUCGUGUUUCGGUUGGUUCACCAAUGUUUGUACUAGAAGUCUUCCAGUGUAGUUUAUUAACGGAACUUGUGACGAUAGCCUGUCUGUGCAGAGCAAAAUCGUUUCUAGAAAGACACUGGCCUUUUCAACUGCAGCUCCUUCUACUAAGAGUCAUACUCCUACCCCUUGAAUCCCUUAGACCACUGGCAAUAACCCGGCUACUGUAAAUACUUCUUCAAUUUACACGAUUAAUAGUCCAUAGUCUAAUGUUCCUACUUUUUCGACGGGGUCUGUAAGUAGUACAUGGACAACCGAGACAAAGUUUGUUAUACCAAUACGGUCAACGAUUAAUGUUACCUUGUAAUAGGUCCUUCCUUCUAACACUACAAAGAGGACAGAGUAACUUCGCGAGUACCAGUUCAUUGACGAACCUACCACCUAGACCUUACUACACACGACGUUCACGAGCCUCGUAAGUACACUUAUACUUUUUACUCUGAGCUUACAUACUGUUGGAUCUGGAAUGUUAUCGAGCUAGACGACCCUGGCAAUCGGUCAGACUUUCCCCACCACUACCGAAUCCACUCCUAGGUAACUUAUAGUCUAGUUUCGGGCACCCUACCCUAUACAACGGACUUCUAGUCUCCGUGAGAGCUCUUCUAAGUUCUCUGUCUCAACUAAGAAGAUUGGACACACAAAAUCCAUGUAAUCUCCGUCGACUUCGGACACUUAGUAAAGCUGGUUACCCUAAUGGUUUAUCUCUGCACGUUAGUGCUGAACUAGCCGAUUCUAGUAAACUGUCUGGGGUGUCUUUACUCGUGACGUCUAGACUACUACCGAUACCAAGACCGAGUUUUCGACUUUCCAGACAACUAUCCGGUGUACCGUCCCCACCUCGUAGAGCCGUACAAGUUCGUUUGUAGGCUCCCCUCGUCACCCGACUUUUAAGUUUAUCAAGAGCAAGAUGGGUCGCUUCUAGUGGACUAAUAUUAUUAAUACCGGGUCGACCAGGUUCUUUACGACGACUUCGACGACAACGUUUCUACCUCUCGUCACCGAAACAACAACGUCGACUACCGUGAAACCAUUCUCGACAACUACGUCGUUUAUGUUCAUGGUACAGAUCUUCCUACUCUUUGUUUUCAUCGAAGAUAGUGGGAAACAGAUCUGCCACAAGGGGUCAACUGUCUCAACCUUCCCCACCCAACAGGUCUCUUGGACGUGUACGAUCCCUUCGUGGAGGUCUUGCUACGAAACCACGAUCACCGUUGGCCAGACCAGCUAUACCAGGAGUCUAGCUAUUUCUAGUACGGUAACUACUUUUAAACUCAAGUCAAGUAUCGAGUGACAGAUUAUCUGUUGCCUCCAAGGGUCGCGUAUCUCGGAGUGAGCUGGACAGUGCACGAGUGUCGUCUAGAGGAAGUCCUAGAUCUAGAGCUAGUGGUGUACGAACCUGUAGGUUGCCUCCGAGUUCAUAUGCCUCCGUAUCAUCUAGAGGAUUAAUGUACUGACUUCAAUCUUAACCAUCUUACUGAAGUGGAGUUUCUGUUGUAGCUAAGUUACUAGCUCAAUACGCACCAUCAGGUAGUUAUUUAAGGUGAAUGAGAGUUGUACUAAGUUGUACCCAACUUCCUUCCUCGACGAGUUGUGAUCUAUAAAGAAUAGUGUUCUUUGCCAUAAGAGCCUCCUCGGGUGGAGACUCUUAGUGGAGUUCUUUACUGUACAAGCUAAAUUACCUAAGGGUUCCUGCCAGUUCUAGAGCUCUUAAGGUGGCGGGUGCACUGAAGUUUUCCCCUUUAUUCGUACUACCCUUACCACUACUAUUUUCUACAUUACUAUCUAUACCUUGACAGUUUGGUAUACUUGUAUUACCACGACACUUCGUCAAGUCCUUAGUACGACCUCUAUUUGAAGUAGGUGUGUAAAGACGUAGGUCUAGUGGACUUGGCGUUUCUCCUUCGGGAACCGCUAAAACUGCUCCUGAAAGUCUCCUUCGACCAACACAUAAACGGAGCAAAACCUUGAUUUCGUCUAUUCUUAGGAACUCAAAACUAACUUGACCUUUCCUGUCAUGACGUUUAGGUACUAUAGUCAGUAAUGAUAAACGGUUUCCCUGCAGACAAGUUCGGUGUAUUCUCGACUUUAAUACGUGGAGUGCCUCACUUUACGUCUAAUUGAAGUGUUAAAAGGUCAAAAGGGAACAUUUAUAAAUAUAGUCAUCAUCCUGGUGUCAAAGUACAAAGUCGGAAAACCGUAAAAAAACUAUAAAAAAAGAGUGAAACGUUAGAAUAAAUUACCCGUAAAAGGGACAUACUCUAAGUGAAUUUGUCUAAGUUAGUAAACUUCGUAGGACGUAGGACCGUAGUGAAGACAGUAAAA
rnacentral:rRNA from 1 species